AGUGAACGCUGGCGAUAUGCCUAACACAUGCAAGUCGAACGGCAGCACAGUAAGAGCUUGCUCGUACGGGUGGCGAGUGGCGGACGGGUGAGGAAUACAUCGGAAUCUACUUUUUCGUGGGGGAUAACGUAGGGAAACUUACGCUAAUACCGCAUACGACCUACGGGUGAAAGCAGGGGAUCUUCCGACCUUGCGCGAUUGAAUGAGCCGAUGUCGGAUUAGCUAGUUGGCGGGGUAAAGGCCCACCAAGGCGACGAUCCGUAGCUGGUCUGAGAGGAUGAUCAGCCACACUGGAACUGAGACACGGUCCAGACUCCUACGGGAGGCAGCAGUGGGGAAUAUUGGACAAUGGGCGCAAGCCUGAUCCAGCCAUACCGCGUGGGUGAAGAAGGCCUUCGGGUUGUAAAGCCCUUUUGUUGGGAAAGAAAAGCAGCAGGUUAAUACCCCGCUGUUCUGACGGUACCCAAAGAAUAAGCACCGGCUAACUUCGUG
rnacentral:rRNA from 1 species